UUAUUUGUGCUGGGUUUGGGUUAUUUGGGAAGUCAAAUUUCAACUGGGAAUAAGCUGUUGAAGUUAGAGGAGAAACUCUCUGGAAGACCGUGGAUGGCCACCAGAUACUGUCUGGAGGAAAACAAGGAAUCAGUGUGGCAGACCAGUUCGCAAUAAAAGCAGAGAGGCAGCUGG